UACGUAGGGUCCGAGCGUUGUCCGGAGUUACUGGGCGUAAAGGGCGCGCAGGCGGCGGUGCUGGCCCGGCGUGAAAGCCCCCGGCUCAACUGGGGAGGGUCACUCGAUACUGAUCGACUCGAAGGCAGGAGAGGGAAGUGGAAUUCCCGGUGUAGUGGUGAAAUGCGUAGAUAUCGGGAGGAACACCAGUGGCGAAGGCGACUUCCUGGCCUGUUCUUGACGCUGAGGCGCGAAAGCUAGGGGAGCAAACGGG
rnacentral:rRNA from 1 species